AUUGAACGCUGGCGGCAUGCCUUACACAUGCAAGUCGAACGGUAACAGGUCUUCGGAUGCUGACGAGUGGCGAACGGGUGAGUAAUACAUCGGAACGUGCCCGAUCGUGGGGGAUAACGCAGCGAAAGCUGUGCUAAUACCGCAUACGAUCUACGGAUGAAAGCGGGGGACUCGCAAGGGCCUCGCGCGGACGGAGCGGCCGAUGGCAGAUUAGGUAGUUGGUGGGGUAAAGGCCUACCAAGCCUGCGAUCUGUAGCUGGUCUGAGAGGAUGAUCAGCCACACUGGAACUGAGACACGGUCCAGACUCCUACGGGAGGCAGCAGUAGGGAAUAUUGGACAAUGGGGGCAACCCUGAUCCAGCCAUGCCGCGUGAGUGAAGAAGGCCCUCGGGUUGUAAAGCUCUUUUGUCCGGAAGAAAGCAAUCGGUUAAUACCCGGUUGUUCUGACGGUACCGGAAGAUAAGCACCGGCUAACUUCGUGCCAGCAGCCGA
rnacentral:rRNA from 1 species